AAACCAACCAACGAGAGACACGUCCAUGCAACGAACAACUUUAACAACUUCAACAUAUCCUCAUAGAUCAGUAGCCGUAGCUAGUCGACCAGACCACGGGUCCAUAGACAACGGCUUGUCCAUUGAUCUGGACGACAAGCACAUAGUCUCCAUCCUUGGAUGCGGGCUGGCUGCGCCACACCGUCUUGUACUGAUCGUCUACAAUGGCUAGCUGCCCACGGUGGUCGAGCCUAAGGAAGCAGUACUCGCCUCCAUCCACAGUCCCAGUCUGCCAGAUGAUGCCUGUGGACCUCUUAGCCAGGGCCAGAUUGCAGCUCUCCCUCAUGAUGAAGGUGUAAUCCCUCGUCGUUAGCUGGGCAUCGUCGUAGAUAACCUGGGACGAGAACAGCACGUUGUUCGGCGUUAACGUUGGAACGUCCAUCAGCCGAGUAGACGCAGCGCCCCUGGUGCUGCGGAAUCCGUAGUUGGGCGUGGACCAAACGGCAGGGCCAUAGAUGGCUAUCUCACCGUCCGGUCGGAGGACGGCGGCGUACUUUCCUCUCGUGUAGUUGCCGCGGAGCUGGGAAAACCAGACGGCAGAGCCGCUGGCUCCUUUGAUGACGAAUUGGCCGAAGUCGUUGAGUGUGAGAGUGCAAUUGUCGCCAUUGCCAUGGGUGUUGGAUUGGAAGCCACGGCGGUUGUUGUACAAGACCAGGUUGCAGUCACCUUGCAUGGCGAAUGUGGCGUCACCGUUGGUUAGCUGGCCGUUGGUGGGGAUAACAUCGCCGGUGAGAAGGACAUUGCUGUCGUUGGCCGUGGAUGGCGGUGCGAGAAGUGAGACGAUGGAUGAAAGGGCGAGGAGGAGGAGAGGAAGCUUGCGGAUCGAGGAUGGAAUUGCCAUUGGUAAUACUCUGGUCGAGCGUCUUAAUUACUCCUGCUCUUGCUGUUGUUCAUGUAUACGUACGUGGUCGUUAUAUAUAUAUAGACGGGGCGAGAGGGAAGAGCCUUCGGCCAAUGUCGCUGGACACUUGCCAGUGGACAAGGGUCCUCGCGUCGCCCAGCCUAUCGUGGAAAGCGAAGCAACGAGACGGCACCAAUGAGCCCGAAGAGGAGAGAAAUAUUAUGCUGGUACGCCGGCAGCUGCGCUUUGUUUCCCACGUUGAACACCCUGGCGCGCCUCAAUGUUUGGGGACCGGCUUUCCCCUUUGGCGUGAUAAGUUUAUCCCUUGAACUUGGGGGACAGGUGGGUCACAUGGGAGAACUUAUUUGGUCCUAGAAUGGGUUUAAGCAGCGGGCGCUCGGUGGACCUGAUCCACUUGAACUUGGUCAAAAAAAAGUUUGGGACCGGACAUGAGUCGUAGUUAGGACUCAGCCUUUUAGUUGGUCCGGAAUUAAUAAACUAAGUUAAAUCUAGAGUCAUAGAGUCCAUCCAUUUGUCUCACUUCAUUAAAGUUUACAUAAGAGAGAGAAAAUAUUAGAAACCAAACUAAUUGUUUGUUUCCAUUCUGUGCCCGUAAGUUACUGGCAACACAUAAAAGAUUGACAUAUGGACAAGAAUUGCAAGCUAAUCUCCAUUUCACAAUGAUGCUUCCAUCUAACAAACCAACAAUCCCCCAUCAUCACCAAACAAAGGUUUUAUCUUUGGUGCAAAAGAAAGGAUUCUCCUUCCUUUGCAUGAAUCCACCAUUAGAUCAUACAAUGGCUGCUUCAAAAUUUUUAUAAAUAGAUGAAUGGAGUUUGGAUUGCUUUGAGAGCUAUACAAAUAGUUGUUAUAGUUUAAAACGUCCUCUAUUAUAUCUCCUAUUAACCAUGCGUGGUCGAUAUCUCAUAAUUAACUUUUUUAUUUUUUUAUAUUAUGCCUUGUCUUCGCAUUUUGCUUCAUAAACACCUCUUCUUAUUCCAUCAAAAUAGAGUCCACAUGUAUUAUUAAGAUAUCUUUUCUUAGCAAUUUUUUUUUUUUUUUUAUCAAAGUUCAACAAAAUUCUUCCUACUAAAAUUAUAGUAUAUUUUAAUUUUUUUAAGAGACAAAUAUAAUUAGUGUUGACAUGUCGCCAUCGAGUGGUGAUCAAAUAGUGAUGCACAGUGAUAGGUUUUUUUGGUUGACACGGCAUGUUGCAUGAUGAGGGUGUGCUUCUCAUCAUCAAAUAAGAAAUCCUUACAUCUCAUGCAUCCUGACUUAAUUAUGCCAUUUGGAGAUACCUAAGGAGGCAAAUAACCUAUAAAUCUGUUUGAAAAGUAACUUGGAAACAUAUGAUUUGAAGUAGAAAUAAAUAGACCUAAUAAGUAGUUAGGUUAGGGUUUGGUCUCGAAAUAUGAUUUGAACUUUUACUAGGUUGAGUGUAGAGUACUACGAUGGACUCAUAGUCAAAAAUCCAAAACAUGGCCCCUAUACACUAUAUGCAUAUAUGUGUGUGUAUGCAUGUAUGUACGUAUGCAUGCAUACUUCCACCAUUUAACUUUUUCUUGCUUUUAGUCAUAGAAGAAGAUGAAGUAGAUAGUAUUACAAACUCUAACGUACUCACCUUUUUCCACCAAAUUUCUAUAGUGGGCUUUGGUUUCACUACUCAAAAUCAAACAUAGUUAUUCUUUUUGCAUAAUACUACUUCAUUUUUGCUAUUUUCUUACAUCGUUAUUUCUUUAUUUAUGGUUCAGAAGUCACGAAAAGUGAGAUUUUGGAUGCAUCAAAUAGAUCUACAAAUAAGUUAAAAGCAUGAUAAGAAAACUUGCUUGAUACCUUAUUAUGAUCUGAAAUGCAAUCUUUUUGAGUCCAAUGUUCAGUAUGUAUGAAGGGUGUUAUUUAGGUUUGGUUUGGGUUUGGGUUUGGAGAUAAUGUGUGUAUUUCAGGUUUGGAGAAGGAUCGAUAUAGCCAAACCUAAGCCAAAUCUGGUCCGUUGACAUCCUAGUCACCUGUCUACAUGAAUAUUAUAUACUAUCUCGAGGCAUUUCAAAUACCAAGUAAAUAUCCCUCCUGACUUGGUUCAAUAUUUGCAUCUCAUGACUAAUAGGUAACCAAUCAUGCUUCAAUCGCUGGAGUUAACAAUCUUGCCGAGUAAUGUUGAGAUUCUGCCACCAUUCAAGAAUUUAUAGUUGAAGUUUUUGGUCAUUUUGGUGGUGGUCAGUCUUGAGAUGGAUUGAGAACUCAAUUGAGAGGAGAAAUUUUAAUUGUUCGGGAAAAAAUUUUAGCUAAGACAUAGGGCGUGAUCGAUUCAAAAGCUUGACUUAAUGCAUGGUAAAAUUUAAAUGGUCUAUCAUCUUCAGAUAGAUAAUGAUUUCCAGAUUUUAUUAUUAAAGAAAAAAUUGCUUUUCAUGCCUGCAACUCCUUGGAAAUAAAUCUCGUAGAGGUCCUGCCAGUAGCAGGCCAAAAAUUAUUAUUCGUCAAACGCGAGAUACCAAACAAACAAAGAGAGACACGUCCAUGCAACGAGCAACUUCAACAUGUCCUCAUAGAUCAGUAGCCGUAGCUAGUCGACCAGACGAGAGGUCCAUAGACAACGGCUUGUCCGUUGAUCUGGACGACAAGCACAUAGUCUCCAUCCUUGGAUGCAGGCUGGCUGCGCCACACCGUCUUGUACUGAUCGUCUACAAUGGCUAGCUGCCCAUGGUGGUCAAGCCUAAGGAAGCAGUACUCGCC
rnacentral:lncRNA from 1 species